rnacentral:rRNA from 1 species
AUUGAACGCUGGCGGCAAGCCUAACACAUGCAAGUCGAACGAGUGGCGGACGGGUGAGUAAUGUCUGGGAAACCGCCUGAUGGAGGGGGAUAACUACUGGAAACGGUAGCUAAUACCGCAUACCAUCGGAUGUGCCCAGAUGGGAUUAGCUAGUAGGUGGGGUAAAGGCUCACCUAGGCGACGAUCCCUAGCUGGUUUGAGAGGAUGACCAGCCACACUGGAACUGAGACACGGUCCAGACUCCUACGGGAGGCAGCAGUGGGGAAUAUUGCACAAUGGGCGCAAGUCUGAUGCAGCCACGCCGCGUGAGUGAAGAAGGCCUUCGGGUUGUAAAGUACUUUUGGCGGGGAGGCGUUACCCGCAGAGGAAGCCCCGGCUAACUCCGUGCCAGCAGCCGCGGUAAUAC